rnacentral:rRNA from 1 species
AUGGCGCCACCGUCCACACGCGCGGCGCUCGAGAACCUGACGCUGGCGGACGCCGAUGCACUCGACUGCGGUGUCUGCUGCCUCCCGCUCAAGCCGCCCAUCUUCCAGUGCGGGGUGGGGCACGCGCUGUGCGAGCAGUGUCGCGGUAAGCUGGCCUCGGCGCGGACCUGCCACGUGUGUCGCGCCCCGAUGGCCGACGGCUACCGCCGGAACCACGACUUGGAGCGGCUGGUGGAGCCCAUCCGCGCGCCCUGCCCCAACGCCGCCUACGGACGCGCCGCCAGACCGGUCUACUACGACGGGCCCCGCCACCUCGAAGACUGCCUCCACGCGCCGUGCCACUGCCCCGAGGAGGCCUGCGGCUUCGUCGGCUCGACGGAGAUGCUGCUGGCCCACUUCGCCGGAGAACACGAGUGGCCGUGCACCACCGGCGCCCGCGCCGGGGAGUCCUUCUCCGUGGACCUCGAGGACGGCUUCAACGUCGUCAUCGUCGGGGACGGCGCCAGGGAGCUGCUGUUCCUGGUGAUGGUGUCGCCCGUGUCCCUCGGACGCGCCGUCUCCGCUGUAUGCGUGUGCCCCCGAACUGACGGCGGCGACGAGAUCUUCUACGGGGUCGAGCUCGAGUUCGAAAGAUUAGGCGGCUGGUAUGGUGAGCGCCUGAAAUCUUUCUUCAACGUGGAAUGCACGAAUCUCUCCAGUGGCCUACCCGAUCCCGACCACCGCUUCCAGUUCCUCCUGCCCAAUUCUGUCAAGCCAUAUGAGGCAGAAACUAUCAACAUCCAAGCCUGCAUUUACACCCAGAUACAGUAA